UAAGGACUCAUCACUUCUCAGAAAACUUCCAAAUACACCUAAAAUGAGUUAUUCUUAAGAAGGAGAAUGAGGAUCCAACCCUUUAACUGAGAUCAAGAUCUAUUCCUGAGCAUCAAUGAGAGAAGACUGGACCAUGUGGGAACAGCUUAGAGUGAAGCCAACUCCCCAGGUUAGGAGACCAAGUGAGGAAUGCAACACUAGGAUUCUUGACCAGAUUUCUACUAAAGCAAAGACUUAAGGACAGAACUGCAUGCUCCACAAGUAAACCCCAAUGGCCAGCAGAACGGAAAUGCUUCAAAGUUUGACUCAUGAAGAGUGGACCUCAAGUUUAUGACUUUUAGAUUAUAUUUCCCUAGACAUACUACUUGCACUUAUCUAGGUUCAAUCUCAUUUGCUCUUUCCUGACGGCCAGGAUAUGAAAGCUUGGAUUCAUCAAAAAGAUGUAACAU
rnacentral:lncRNA from 10 species